rnacentral:rRNA from 1 species
UCAUGAAAGCCGUCUGCACCCAAAGUCGCUGAUUCAACCCGCAAGGGAGAUAGGUGCCUAAGGUGUGGGUGGUGAUUGGGAUG